AUGAGGCUUUGGCUCCAAUUUGUUCUCAUUAUAGCGGCUUUGGAAGGUGUCCGGUCACAGGUGCAGCUGGUGGAGUCCGGAGGGGAUGUGAAAAAGCCCGAAGACUCUCUCCGCCUCUCCUGCAAAGCCUCCGGGUUCACCUUCAGCAGCUACUGGAUGGACUGGGUCCGCCAGGCUCCUGGGACGGGACUUGAAUGGGUCGCUCAUAUAAACCCUAGUUUGGGUACUGCAUACCCUGAUUCAGUGAAAGGCCGAUUCACCAUCUCCAGGGAUGAUUCCAAGAGUGAGCUGUAUCUGCAAAUGACCGGCCUGAAGCCCGAGGACACCGGCCGCUAUCACUGUGUGAGAGACACAGUGAGGGGAAGCCGGGCUGAGCUCAGACAAGAACCUCCCCCUGCAGCAGCCCUGGUUCCUAGUUCUCUCCCAGAGCUCCAAGUUAUCUUCCACUUCUCCAGCGGGUUCCGGGUUCGCCUUCAGCAGCCACCGGAUGAGCUGGGUCCGACAGGCUCCCGGGAAGGGGCUGGAGUUUGUCGCCUACAUUUACAGCACCACAUAUACUACAGUGACUUGGUAAAAGGGCGAUUCACCGUCACCAGUGAUGACCCCAACAGUCUGUUGUACCUGGAAAUGACCGUCCUGAAGCCGAGGACACCGCACCGGUAA